rnacentral:rRNA from 1 species
AGAGUUUGAUCCUGGCUCAGAUUGAACGCUGGCGGCAUGCCUUACACAUGCAAGUCGAACGGUAGCGGGCCUUCGGGUGCCGACGAGUGGCGAACGGGUGAGUAAUGUAUCGGAACGUACCUUUCAGUGGGGGAUAACGUAGCGAAAGUUACGCUAAUACCGCAUAUUCUGUGAGCAGGAAAGCAGGGGAUCGCAAGACCUUGCGCUGAUUGAGCGGCCGAUAUCAGAUUAGCUAGUUGGUGGGGUAAAAGCUCACCAAGGGCGACGAUCUGUAGCGGGUCUGAGAGGAUGAUCCGCCACACUGGAACUGAGACACGGUCCAGACUCCUACGGGAGGCAGCAGUGGGGAAUUUUGGACAAUGGGGGCAACCCUGAUCCAGCCAUGCCGCGUGAGUGAAGAAGGCCUUCGGGUUGUAAAGCUCUUUCGGCCGGGGAAAGGAAAUCGCAUGGGUUAAAUACCCUGUGCGGAUGACGGAACCGGCAUA